CAUGGGAUGGAAGGCACAGGAGUCACUUACUAAUUCUGCUUGCUGGCAAGGUGGCUGCGUGUUUGGGCUGUGGGAGGUCUGGCACAUGUCCUGGACCCUACUGUGCUGUAGACCUCCAAUGAAGUCUCCUUUGGCCUCUGCAGGUCAGAAACUUGGUUGGACUCCCUGCACAGGGUCUCAAAUGCCUGAAAUCGAGGUGUCAACUGGCCCUUCUGAUAUGCGGUCUCUGGGGAAGAACCUGCUUCCAGCUCAUCUGGAAUGCGGCAGAAUCCAGCUACUUGCAGUUAUGGGACUGAGGGCCCAUUUCCUGCCACAUGGCCCUCUUGUGCUUCUAAUCUCUACUUUUCACUUCUGCUUUUUCUUCUAAUUGAGCUCAGAAGAACAAGCACACACCUGAGAUGCAGCCCUCACCAGCUCUUCCUGAACAGGCUCUUCCCCAGACACAUUUGUGGAGCUUCAGCCCUCUCCACACCUAUCCUCAGUCCUUGCCUGGACAACUUGGAGCUCCUACUUCUGGCAAGACGCUGUGUGAGACCCAAGGAUACAAAGUAGAGUGCCUGCACUCAGGAGCUCAUGGCCAAUGAGACAUAAAAUGUGGCCACAAAAGGAGACCACACAGCUGGAGAAUGGGGAAAGAAGGAAGAAACCCCAUUGUCCAAAUGUCCCUAACAGGAGAGUUCCAGGGGGUCUUUCUAGAGGAGGUACUCAUGUGACCCAGAUGCUAAAGGCAGGUGCCACUUGCAACAGUAAAGGGAGCCUCAGCUCCUAGAGAGACAACCAACAGAGAUCUCCAGACUCCACAGUGACUACAUAUUGGACACUGAAGAGGGUGGCAGCAUAUUCAUUUAUUUCUUCAUCUCUGGGCACCAACAGCUACCCUUUUAUGUACCUCCAAGACCUUCCUUAGUUGAAAACCAAUUUCCUUUGUU